UCAGUAGGCGGCCAACUAAGUCCGACGUGAAAUCCCAAAGCUUAACUUUGGAACUGCGUCGGAUACUGGAUGGCUUGAAUUCGGGAGAGGGAUGCAGAAUUCCAGGUGUAGCGGUGAAAUGCGUAGAUAUCUGGAGGAAUACCGGUGGCGAAGGCGGCAUCCUGGACCGAGAUUGACGCUGAACGCGAAAGUGGAGGCAACG
rnacentral:rRNA from 1 species